UACGUAGGGUGCGAGCGUUGUCCGGAAUUAUUGGGCGUAAAGAGCUCGUAGGCGGCUUGUCACGUCGGGUGUGAAAGCCCGGGGCUUAACCCCGGGUCUGCAUUCGAUACGGGCAGGCUAGAGUGUGGUAGGGGAGAUCGGAAUUCCUGGUGUAGCGGUGAAAUGCGCAGAUAUCAGGAGGAACACCGAUGGCGAAGGCAGGUCUCUGGGCCGAUACUGACGCUGAGGAGCGAAAGCGUGGGGAGCGAACAGG
rnacentral:rRNA from 1 species